rnacentral:rRNA from 1 species
CUUAAUCGAUUUUAUAAAUAAGAUUUUUAAACCGAAAAUGUACGGAUUUUGUGUUUUAGUUGAAUAAGUUAUAAAACUUAGAUCUUUAAUUAAUCAGGUAGAUUUAAAUUAAACUAUACAUACGCUGUGAUAAAUUAUUCGGUGUCAUUUAUAUCUGUUUAGUGAUUUUAUAAAUUAAGUUAACUUUUUGGCUAGGAGGUCAUAUAGUAGGGAAUAUCUUUUUUCUUUUGUUUUCUAAGAAAGGGUUAAAAUUACCCAUUUUUGAUAAUUGUGUUACAAUUUUUAUCAUUAGUAUUUAUUAGAUUUCUUGUAAGAAUCACGUAAAGUUUAACAAUUAGGUUUUAUUAUGAUUAAAUAAGUAAUAUUAAUAUGGUUUUUGUUUCUCGAAAUUUGCCUGUCUGUUUAUUAAAAACAUUUCCACCUGAAUAAUAUAGGUGGUAGUACCUGCUCUAUGCUUAAGUAAAUGGCCGCAGUAUCUUGACUGUGCGAAGGUAGCAUAAUUAAUUGCCCUAUAAUUGAGGGCUUGUCUGAAUGGUUUGACAAGGUAAAGUUAACAUGAUCCAUAUUUUUGAAAUUAAUAGUGGGGGCACAGAAUCCCCUGAGAUUAAUUAGACGGAAAGACCCCGGGAUCUUUAUAUUUUGUCUGGGGCAGAUUAUAGUCAUUCACUUAUUAAUUUGACCCUAAUGGUUCAUUGGUGAAAGUUACCCCGGGGAUAACAGUGUAAUAGUUUAUUAGAGAUCUUAUCGAAUUAACUGCUUGCCACCUCGAUGUUGACUUAGGUUUAAGCUAGGGCGCAGUAGUUCAAGCUUCAGGUCUGUUCGACCUUUUAUACCUCC